UGAAACACUGGAGAGAUAUAUGGUCAUGCACAGUCUGAGAGGUAGAACUAAAGUGAAGACGAGCACUUGCAGACAGGGAGAUUUGCACCAGCAUCUCUGCAAGUCCACUGAGA
rnacentral:lncRNA from 1 species